AUUAGGUUAAAAGCCCAAGGUAAAAAGAAGAAUGGGCCUGGCAAUAGGGUUGAUUGAACUGGCUGAAGGACACCGUGAGGAAAUCAAGGAAAAUAAAUUUAUUUAUUUAUUUCUAAGGAAAAUACAGGACGGAAAGACCUCAGGACGGAAGGUUCUUAGGUCGGUAGGUCCUCAGGACGGAAAGACCUCAGGACGGAAGGUUCUUAGGUCGGUAGGUCCUCAGGACGGAAAGACCUCAGGACGGAAGGUUCUUAGGUCGGUAGGUCCUCAGGACGGAAAGACCUCAG